rnacentral:lncRNA from 1 species
CACGCACGCACACACACACACAAACACAUAGACACACACAAAAGAUGUCUGCAGUUUUCUGUUGACCGUGCAUGAUGGCAUUUCUGGGCUCUGUGUGCUGCCUCUGCUAUUGAUUGCUAUUCCACACACGCACGCACACAUGCACACACCGGCAAGCUUGCUCCCCACUCGGGAAAAAGAAAAAAGUCAUCGUUACCAGCCCCUCAGUAUCUCUGAGCAUCCUAGCCUCUGACCUGACGUCUCUAGAGUGAUAUCGCACGAGUGUCUUCCACACCCUCCUCUUUCUCUUCCUCUUCUCACCACCCCCGACGCCCCCCCCACUCUUCAGCCUCCCUAGCUUCGUUAUCCUGCCUGGAUCUAAUCUGGCAGCCGUGUUCUGGAAGAGGAGCAAGAGAGAGGAAAAAGGAAGAGACGUACAGAGACCUACCGCUAGAGAACAAGGAGGAUAUAACAGGUAUUGUUACACUUUAUCCUUGUGUCUUUAUUCGUUUUUUGCUUGUUUUAUGCCCAUUUGUGGAGAUUUCCCGCGUCUCGUUGUCUUUGCCCGCUCUCCCUCUAACUUGCCACCCUCGUUACUGGUGUCGCCCGUUAGAUUGAGACCUCCCGGGACUGCCUUUUUUUUCUCUCUCUCUCCUUUCCUCUUCCUUUUCUGGCAGGAGUUGUUAAUUUUCUCUUUGGUGUUCUUGGAUUAUUUGGCUCAUUUUCCCUGUGGGUCGUUAUCGGUUGCUUGGAGUCUCUCCUUAUAGGAAUAAGGAUUUCUCUUUUUUUUGCCCCCUCCCCUGUUUUCCCCUGAUCCAUUUACAAAGUGUCUUGGGAGCUGGGAUCCGGUGGGACGAAGUGAGUGAGUCUGAACAAAGAUAAGGCUGACACUUUUGGAAACAGG